rnacentral:rRNA from 1 species
GACGUAGGGCGCGAGCGUUGUCCGGAUUUAUUGGGCGUAAAGAGCUCGUAGGCGGCUUGUUGCGUCGACCGUGAAAACCCGUGGCUUAACUGCGGGCUUGCGGUCGAUACGGGCGGGCUGGAGUUCGGUAGGGGAGACUGGAAUUCCUGGUGUAGCGGUGAAAUGCGCAGAUAUCAGGAGGAACACCGGUGGCGAAGGCGGGUCUCUGGGCCGAUACUGACGCUGAGGAGCGAAAGCGUGGGGAGCGAACAAG